rnacentral:tRNA from 1 species
AAAAUCCGUCGACUUUAGAAAUCGUGAGGGUUCAAGUCCCUCUAUCCCCCCAAAAAGACCGAUUUGACUAUUUCUCCUACCCUCUCUUUUUUUUAGUGGUUCAAAAUCCGUUCUCUUUCUCAUUCAUUCUACCUUUUUACAAACGUAUCAGAGCAUAAUUUUUUUUUUAUCACAAUCCCAAUCCCAAGUGGUGUGGUAUAUAUGAUAUACGUACAAAUGAACAUCUUUGAACAAAGAAUCCCGAUUCACAAUUCAUAUCAUUGCUCAUACUGAAACUUAUAAAUUAUUCUAUUCAAGAAAUCGAAUUCCACGCUCAAGACUUUUAAUACUUUUUUAUCUUUUUUAAUUGACAUAGACCCCAGUCAUCUAGUAAAAUGAGGAUGAUGCGCCGGUAAUGGUCGGGAUAGCUCAGCUGGUAGAGCAGAGGACUGAAAAUCCUCGUGUCACCAGUUCAAUA